rnacentral:lncRNA from 1 species
CUGAAAAUAAUUUCCAUUCAAAUCUUUUUAAAUUGCCACGUCAUCUUCAUCAAAGCAUACCUCACUUCAAAUCUAUGGAUAUCAGUGAAGCCAAGAAGCAAACGAAAUAAAAAUGGGACACGCGAUAAGUGUAGAGAAAGUGGAUGAUUAAUUCCCUCUUUUUUUACAGACUGUGGAUCAAUUUGCUACUAUUUCAGCACAUUGGGGAUCAAUAGUGCAGUUUCUUCCGAAAGAAAAAGGAAAAAAAACAGAAAAAUGAGUAGACGAAGACUAUAGCUCUGCAUACACUUGCGUUCAUUCAUUUCCUCUCUCUCUUCAUUUCUAUCUCUGUAACUUCUCUCUCCGAAGACGUCAUUUCUGCUUGGCCUUUGCUUGUGUUGUGUAGAGCUGAAGUAGAGUAAGGUGGAGGGACAAAAGUUGUAAAUUCAUUUAACUGCGGGCGGAAUUGUAUCGGGCGUUUGUCUGAAGCCAUCGGAAAAGCAAAGUCAAGCCCUCUCGAUCGAGGUGUGCUACUAUCCUUGUUUUCCAAUUUUACCCUCGGAUCGCUAAAAUAUCUCCAAUUCUGAGGUUUUGUGAAGUUCUCUGCAUGUAAAUUUAUCUGGUUUAUUUUGAGGAAUUUAGCUGAUUUUGAUUUGGGUCAAAUUGUGCUUGUAAAAAAGAUUUGAUUUUUGUUUUUUGAGCUGAGCGUUUGAGUUAUUUAUUCGACGUCGUUUUUUGGAGUGGAAAAUUGACGGUGAAAUGGACUUGGCAGUCAACUCAUAAUAAAGGAAAGGAGGAAAAUAUAUAAAUGGAGCAAACCAUAAAUUAAUGUAC